rnacentral:lncRNA from 1 species
AUGCCAGCUCCACAACAAAAAAAUCACCCAAAGAAAGCUGGAGAUUUUACAAAGGAAAAACAGAAGCAAAAAAAUAAUUAGCAUUGUAAUACUUCACAUCAUCAAGCUUGAAAGAAAAUGGAGACAAACUAUUGAAAGUGAGAACAUAAGUCAAAUAAAAACAGAACUUUCAGGUGACUUUGCAAGUUAAAUCCCUGCAUCUCUUUGACCUUGGCAACUCAGUCAAUAUUACUUGCCUAUCAAAAUUGCAAAGCAAAGCAACUGUAAAUUACUGAGGACAAAAAUUGUUGGGAGAGAAAACUUACAAUUUCCCAAGUAUAAUAAUACAGAUAAACAGAAGUCAAUCAAAUGCCCAAUUUUCUAUUUUAUGUUAUUUCUUUCAGGAAUCUCUCCACCUUCUCUCUGCCAUACACAUACACACAAGCACAGGAUUAGAGUAGAUGGUUCUGAAUGAUCUCUCAAAGUAUCCUGUACUCCCCUUAUUCUAGCAGACAUCACAUAUUAUUGACAAUGAUUACACUGUCUUUCUUGGUGUUAAAGUAUAUUUAGCCUUGAGUAACAUAAUCCCAAAUAAAAUGACUUAGUAAGGAUAUUUAUUAUCUACUUAACAUGAAAAUGGGCAAUAGGUGGCUCAAGACGGUCAUCAAAGGUUCAACUUCUUCCUUGCCUUCCUUCCUAUCAUCCUCAACUAAUCAAUUCUUCCCUUCAUGGUCACAAAAUGGCUACAGAAUUUCUCCAGACAGACGCAGGAUGGAAUCCUGGUUGAGUCAAAUCCAUACUGAGUGGAUAACUGUGUGUCCUGGUUUUGUCUGGGGAAAUUCCUUUUUACCUAAGUUGUCUGGACUUAAUUAUUCAUAGUACACCCUCCCCCUUUUCAUGCUCAAAAGUGUUUCUGAAUGAGAAAUUAUGUGGUCACUCUCUUGGAGGUACUGAGGAAAGUUUCUUUAAGUGGUUGAGCCCCAAUUUUCUUUAUAAAUGAUAACAUUUCUGGAAUGAGGUACGUGUGAGAAUUGAAUGGGAUAUUUUGUGUAAAGUACCCAAUAUCUGGUUGAUCCUGAAAGGAUGACAGCUCUUCAGAUAAUCUGCUUUGUUAUCAAAGAUGAACUGGAAGGUGGAAAAUUAGGUAGAGUAUCACAUUAAAAUUAUUCAGAUGACAAGAAAUAAAGAAGUAAAAGAAGGAAAAAUUGGGGCAAGCUGGAAUUGGAGGACUUAAAGACAAAUUGCAAUGUGGGCAUAACUGGAAGAAGUGAAAAGAAAACUCUUUGGUUGUGAACUUGAAGGAUGGAAAGUUACUGAUUCCAUUAAAUAAAAUAUGAAAUAGACUUCAAGAGCAGCAAAGAGGAGAGAUGGAGAAGAUUUUUAGGUCCAUUUUGGACCUCUCCGAUUUGACAAGCCAUGUAUUAAGAAAUAUACAUCUCUAUCUGGAAACUGGAAAUGAUGCUUAAGAAGUCAAGAUGGAGCCUGGGGCUGGAAAGAGACAUUUAAGAAUUAUCCAUAUGCAAUUGUAGAAGCUAAAGAAAGAAACUGUCAAGGCAGAAAGAAGACAAAUUAGACCAAAUUCAAAUACUUAAUGAAAGGAUUUAUAUUUAAGGUUGGGAGUUACAGUUUGGUUUGUGUCAUAAACUAAAAAGAUAUUGAUCCAAGGAUCUGUUCUUGAGGGAAAAAAAUGGGGGCCAGCUCAGUACUCAGAAAACCAUCUAAUUUUUAUUUUGUUUUGUUUUGUUUUGUUUUGUUUUGUUGUUGUUUGAGCAGAGAAGGCUUUAUUGCAGAGCCAAGGAAGGAGAACAGGUGGCUCAUGCCCCAAAACACCUGAACUCUCCAAAGGGUUUCAGCAAAGCAUUUUUUCCAAGAAAACAAAAUGUUUAUUUGUAAGCAUGCAACAAAACUUAGUUAUUAUUCCAGUUCUCAUUUUCCUGCCCACCUUCCUGUCUUUAUUCAUCACACCUCCAGCCCUUCCAGUGCACACUGUGUGACUCAGGAAUUCUCAACUCUAUGCCCCAAUAUGUCAUUGAAAACUGUCAAAUCUGAAUGUGUGAAUUCAUUAUGCUUCCAACUCUCUGCUUCAUUCUACAUAAAACUCUAAUCACAUAUAGUUUGUAUCAAACCUACAACAAAUGACAUUAAAAAAAAAAUCAAUCCUCAACACACUUAUAAGCAAUGACUAUGCCUUUCUUUGGAGUCGUUUUGUCACUUGUGUUGCUUUGUCACCAUUAUCACAUGUCUGUUCCAGGAGUAAGUGCAGUUAUUCACACAGGAAGUACAGCAACUUUCCCUCUGAAACCAUGGGUCAAAGCAAUCUGAUCACCACCUUACUUCUGAAGCUCUCCAAAUAGUUUUUUGUUGUUGUUUUUUAAAGACACCAGAUACUUCCCUUACUUUCAUUAAAAGCUAUAAUAUUAAUGUUAAUAACCAUAAACAGAAUAGUAAUGAUAAAUUCAGCUUUAUUAUUAUUGACUUCAAUUUUCAUUACUAUUUGUAUAUUUUCAUAGGAAUGGUGUUUAAUUUUUAACUGCAUUGCCUCUAAUCCAUAAAAAUCAGGUGUUUACUAGCUCAAAUUUUUCAAAUGCCAAAAGAAUCUCUGUUUUUUUCAGUGGUUUCAGUAAAUUAUAAUCCAAUUCACUAUAAAACUAUCCACAUUUUCUAAAUAUUAUCCAAAAUGUAACACUCUCUGGAAGGGGUCACUUCUCAUCAGACACAGAAUGAAAUAAUCCCCUUCCUCCCUAUAUCCUGAUGCUUUAUCCCCACAUCCAAAUAAAAUCAAGUCAAUCUUUCUGUUGAACUAAAAACUCCAAAUACUGCCUCUCUAUGGCAGUAUCCUGUGGUAUUGAUACCUUCCACUGAUUGCAUGACCCCAACCUAAUUCUAUAUUGCUCAGUAAAAAGAAAAGAGAAUCUCAGUUAAAGUAUGCCAACAGCAAAUGGGAUAUCUUUUCCAAGUAAUACCACCAACAACAAAAUACCUUGAAAAAAAGGUUUCAACUGUAUCUAGGAGUUCCCAUCAUGGAACAGUGGAAACAAAACUGACUAGGAUCUGUGAGGAUACGGAUUCUAUGCCUGGCCUCGCUCAGUGGGUUAAGAAUCCAGCAUUGCCGUGAGCUGUGGUAUAGGUCACAGACACAACUUGGAUCUGGUGUUGCUGCAGCUGUGGCGUAGGCUUGCAGCUACAGCUCUAAUUGAAUCCCUGGCCUGGGGACCUCCAUAUGCUGCCACGGCCCUAAUAAGACAAAAACGCAAAAAAAAAAAAAAAAAGCAAAAAAAACCCAAUAUUUAUAUUAUGACCCUAUCAUAUUAUCAAUUAGAAAGGUCUUUUGCUAUUGGAUAGAAUUUUAUUUUUAAAAAAAGAAGGAAGAAGUAAAUUGAUGACCUAGGAACAUCUAAACAGGAUAAAUAAAAUUCUCAGUCCUUAAAAGAUCAUGUACUUCCCAAUACAGGUAUUCAUAUAAAUAUCCUCAUUCUUGAUUCGGUAUUAAGAAGGCCAGGCAAGUUAAGGAUCUAGCAUUGUUACUACUGUGGUGUGGGUUUGAUCCUUGGAUGGUGAACUUUCACAUGCUAGGGCCAUGGCCAAAAAAUAAAUAAACAAUAAGGCUAGGCUAAUUCUCAAGCCUAAUAGGACAUUUUGGGAGGGCAGCAUACCAACUAUCUUCCCCAAUUUCCACUGCCAGAGUGCAGCAAUAAAUUUAGAUUACAUAAGGCAGAUACUGGCAAAUGUAGGCAAGAAAAGACACCACUUCCCCAACUCAAACGAUAUACUCCAGAUAUUUCUGUCAGUUCAUGAAGACACUAGACCACCAAAGUAUCAACAUUAACAAAACUUACUUAUUUCAGAUAAUAAAAUAUUUUCCGAGAGUUAUUCUAAAUCUUGUAAUAUUUAAAGCCUUUGUGCAAUCAUUAAUUGAUCAAAUAUUGUUUUCCUGGAGAACUGAUUUAAUUUGAGGGAAACUAUCUUUUUCAGUUUAAAGAGUAGGGACAGGAAAAAUACUUUUUAAGGCAAAAUUUUACUGAUUUGUUCGCUCAUUACAAAAUGAGUAAAAAAAAAUGAGGAGUUCCCGUCGUGGAACAGUGGUUAACAAAUCCGACUGAGAACCAUGAGGUUGCGGGUUCUGUCCCUGCCCUUGCUUAGUGGGUUGACGAUCCAGCAUUGCCGUGAGCUGUGGUGUGGGUCACAGACGCGGCUCGGAUCCUGCGUUGCUGUGGCUCUGGCAUGGGCCUGUGGCUACAGCUUUGAUUCGACCCCUGGCCUGGGAACCUCCAUAUGCCACGGGAGCAGCCCAAGAAAUAGCAAAAAGACAAAAAAGAAAAAAAAAAAAAAGAGUAAAAAUGAAAUACAGGAUUUCCUGUAGUGGCACAGUGGUUAACGAAUCCAACUAGGAACCAUGAGGUUGUGGGUUCAAUCCCUGGCCUUGCUCAGUGGGUUAAGGAUCCUGCGUUGCCGUGAGCCGUGGUAUAGGUCGCAGACGCGGCUCUGAUCCCAGCAUUGCUGUGGCUCUGGCGUAGGCUGACGGCUACAGCUCCAAUUCGACCCCCAGCCUGGGAACCUCCAUCUGCAGCAGGAGCAGCCCAAGAAAUGGCAAAAAGAACAACAAAAAAAAAGAUUAAAUAAAAAAAUAAAUGAAAUACAAGGCAAUUAACAUCAUUUCUAGGCCAAUAGCUUUUUGCUCCCUAAAUACCAUACAGAAAAAUAAAAUAAUAAUCAAGUAUAUAUACAUAUUUUAAGUUAUUCACUACUAUGCAUUUAGUAUUUGGGUAAUAUAUUCUGUGCAAAAUUGUGCUUCCAGAAUUCUACCCACUGUCCUUGUGCAAGCCCUACCCGCUCACAAAUUAUGGCACUAAUCUUGGUCCUUACAGCUUCUAAAAACUCCUUUAGUGUAUGUGUCUAUGUCACCUCACUUAUUUCAGUCUUGGACUCAUCAGUGGACCAAGGACUGACCGAGGACUGACCAAGGACCUCCUUUUCUCUCAAAUAAGAGUCCACUAAAAAUAGCAUCCUCUCAUAUCAUACCUACUGUACCCUUAUUCCAGCAUUUCCAGAAUAGAAUAGGUUGCUGGUGAGUAAAUUUAGUCUUGCUUUCCUCAAGAAAUGUGGUCCACACUCAGGACUUCAAUUUUACUGUUUUCAUUAACAAAUUUUUGUUCCAAGGCAUAUGCAAGGACGAUAAAUUUGUGA